UACAACAUACCAUUAAUGAAAGAGACCCCAUUAGAACUCUACAGUUAAGUGCACUCGGGCUAGAGUAGUACUAGGAUGGGUGACCUCCUGGGAAGUCCUAGUGUUUUAC
rfam:Picea glauca, whole genome shotgun sequence.